rnacentral:rRNA from 1 species
AACAAACGCUGGCGGCGUGUCUUAAGCAUGCAAGUCGAGCGGCAGGCGCAGCAAUGCGCUGAGAGCGGCGGACUGGUGAGUAACGCGUGGGUAAUCUACCUUUGGCAUGGGGAUAGCCACUAGAAAUAGUGGGUAAUACCGAAUACGUUCCCUGGGGGGAGGUUUCAGGGAAGAAAGGGUGCUACGGCACCGGCCGGAGAUGAGCUCGCGUCCCAUUAGCUAGUUGGUGAGGUAACGGCCCACCAAGGCGAUGAUGGGUAGCCGGCCUGAGAGGGUGUACGGCCACACUGGGACUGAGAUACGGCCCAGACUCCUACGGGAGGCAGCAGCUAAGAAUAUUCCGCAAUGGACGAAAGUCUGACGGAGCGACGCCGCGUGGAUGAAGAAGGCCGAAAGGUUGUAAAAUCCUUUUGCUGAGGAAGAAUAAGUGUGGGAGGGAAUGCCCGCACGAUGACAUGAAUCGGCGAAUAAGCCCCGGCCAACUACGUGCCAGCAGCCGCGGUAACACGUAGGGGGCGAGCGUUGUUCGGAAUUACUGGGCGUAAAGGGCAUGUAGGCGGUUAUGUAAGCCUGGCGUGAAAGUCCACAGCUUAACUGUGGGAUUGCGUUGGGAACUAGAUGACUAGAGUUACGGAGAGGGAGCUAGAAUUCCUGGUGUAGGGGUGGAAUCUGUAGAGAUCAGGAAGAAUACCGAUGGCGAAGGCAAGCUCCUGGCCGAUGACUGACGCUGAGGUGCGAAAGUGUGGGGGAUCAAACAGGAUUAGAUACCCUGGUAGUC